GUCUGCCUUUAGCCUUUUCCCGAACGCCUCUCCUAUGAUUGGUUUUCUCUACACGGCCCGGGAUGUUAGUAUGCUGCGCUCUCUCCCACGUCACUAGUUUCAUAAAUAGAUUUUCCUAACGUCAUGCCAGAUCAUUGUAAUUGGUUCCCGUCGCUUCUGUUGAAUUCCUGAUAGGCUAGGAAGUUUGUUCCUCGAGGUAAUAUUGUGGUGAGCCUAUCCUACCUGGUUGCUUGUCCUAACCUUAGCAGCACCUACAUUAUUACCUCGACAUUCCCCUCCCACGGAUUCUGCCCUCGUUGGCAGCAUUGAAGGAACGUAGCCAUGAUAUAGCAGCUACCUGUCCAUCGUCC